CCUGCCUUGUCUUCAUCUCUAUUUUCUCUUGCCCAGCCUUCCAUCCCCAUCCCCUCUCCAGGCAAGGACCAUGGCCUUGAUCCAUGGGCCAGAUCAAGUGGCACCCACGUGGGGCUUGACUUGGCAUGAGGGAUAACAACAUGGGACCGUUCACGGGAGUAAAGCACUGGCCAGCGUGACUGAUUCAAGGUCUUCGUCCCUGUGAUCCGUGCAGACGGCCACCUUACGUCUCGCCUGAAUCACGAUGGUGCAACCUCUCAAAACCUUAUGGACCAUCGUUGGACUUUUGACACAACUACAUCUAAUGGAUAGCAACCUCCAUCAACCCUGGAAAUGGGAGCUUAGCCACUGGAAUGACCAAGAGAUGGUUUGGACUUGGGUAGGAUCAGGAAGUGCAUGGUUUGUGCCCACACCCCAUUGGUUCUUUCCGGGGCUCCAAAGUCCCAGAAAAAGUCAAUUCUACCUUUGUCCCACAGCAACAGGGGGCAGAUCAUAUUGUAAUUCCCCGGGAGAACAUUUUUGUACUUGUUGGGGAUGCAAAACAGUUGCAGCAGGAUGGCAACCCGCCUUCCCCAAUAAACACCUUUAACUGACAUGGGGGCCGCUGGGGUGCAGCCUAGAUGACUACCCACCAGCCAAUCAAAGACCCUGUCAGAUUCUAAAUGUCACUGUCACCACUCCUGAGGACCCUGGCUGGCUGACAUGAUGCACCUGGGGACUUCGAGUCUGUGAGUCAGGCAAAGAUAGGGGAAAUCUUAUUCUCAUAAAAAAGGUUCCCCUAUAGGUUUCAUCCACGCCCAUAGGCUCAAAUCUUGCUCUAAAGCCAAAAUACAAUCCAAAUCCAAAAUACAAUCAGUCUAAUACAGAUCCUGUUACUGCUGUUCAAACAACCACAGUAAGUCACCCAACCAUAAGCGUUUCUCAAGCCCCCGCACACCUGGCAGAUCAUAUAUCUGCCCCUCAAUAUUCACAUUCUAACCUAUUCAGUUUGAUUAAAGGGGAAUACAUGGCUUUAAAUCAUACCCAACCUGAUCUCACCCAAUCCUGUUGGUUAUGCUUGGCCGCUCCUCCCCCAUAUUAUGAAGGAAAGGCCCUUAAUUUAACCUUUAACAGUUCUUCUAUCUCAUCUUCCUGUGACUGGGCAAUCACCACAAGCUGACUCUCCCUGAUAUCUCAGGUAGAGGGACCUGUCUUGGGGACUCCAGCCGUCCAUCAGCACUGGCAGCAAAACUCUGUGCCCAGCUUCAUUCAGAGUUCAAGCCAAAUAAUUACCUCAUUUCACCCCCAGGAACAUCUUGGGCCUGCAAUUUCUGCCUCUCACCCUGAAUAGCAACCACUGUUUUUAACAAGUCUGCCGAUUUUUGUGUUCUUGUACAGGUUCUUCCUCGCAUAACAUUCCACCUAGGAGACUACUACCUCCAGGCAUCACAGAUUGGCUAUAUGUACAAGAGAGAACCUGUGACACUCACCUUAGCUGUAUUACUAGGGUUAGGAGUCGCAACAGGAAUAGAAACAGGGACUACAGCACUAGUGUUGGGAAAAUAGCAUCUAGCUCUAUUACAGGCAGCAGUAGAUCAGGAUUUAAAAGAAAUAGAAACAUCUGUGGUGGCUUGACAGGCAUCUCUGACAUCUUUAUCUGAGGUAGUCCUACAAAAUAAAAGAGGACUAGACCUCCUAUUUAUGAAGGAGGGUGGCUUAUGUGCUGCUCUCAAAGAAGAAUGCUGUUUUUAUGCUGACCACUCAGGAGUCAUCAGAGAGUCCAUGACUAAACUAAGAAAGCACCUCAAAGAGAGAGAAAAGGAGCACCUCAGAGAAAUGACCUUCUCUUCCAUGCGGGAGUGUCUCUUCCCUUACAUUGCUCCCCUCUUGGGACCUCUGGCUGCUUUAUUGCUACUCCUUACUAUAGGCCCUUGUAUUUUCCAGAGGAUCGUGACACUCCUUAAUAACAGGAUUGACGCCUUUAUGGCAAAGCCCAUUCAGGUACAUUACCAUCAAUUGGAGAUGGCAGAACAACAAACUUAUUGGGAGAGAACCUCCACCACUGGUCCACAUAAUGAUGUGGCCCCAAUGCCCUGAGGCACUGGACAGGCAGCCAGAGAUGGGCAACUAAGACACAUAUGUUAUGCCAUCAACCACCUAAGACAGGCACAGGACCAACUGCUGUCCUGCAGGCCCACGACGGGUAAGGCUCGAUUGGGUACAUAUGAAGAGUCCUUGACCCAAGACAGGUGCUGAGUCCUUGACCCAAGACAGGGACUGCCAUACUCCUAAAAAAUAUAAUAAAAAUGGAGGAGAUGUAGGGAGCAGCAUAUCUCAUUGCUGCCACCUUAUCUCGCCCUCCUGUGGGCCUCUGCCGCAUCCGCUUACAUUUCCCAUGAUCCUCAUGUCUGCUUACAUUACCCAUAAUCCUCUCCUGCUUAUAUCAUAUAUCCAGAUGUGACGAUGACCUGUCAGAUAACACUCCAUGCCCUCUUCCUGCCCCAUUGGCCCGCCUCCACCCUAUAUAAGUUGUAGCCAUUUUAAGAAUAAAUGAGACUUGAAUGGAA